GGAGGGUGUAGCUCAGUGGUAGAGUGCGUGCUUAGCAUGCACGAGGUCCUGGGUUCAGUCCCCAGUACCUCCA
rnacentral:tRNA from 1 species